CUCACUGCGCCGGCACCGCAUGCAUGAGCAGCAGUUUGCCUACCCACCCCUCCUGGUACUCAACAGCUUCGGCCCCCAUGGCAUGCAUGUGAAGCUCAUGGCCACCAUGUUCCAGAACCUGUUCCCCUCCAUCAACGUGCACAAGGUGAACCUGAACACCAUCAAGCGCUGCCUCCUCAUCGACUACAACCCCGACUCCCAGGAGCUGGACUUCCGCCACUAUAGCAUCAAAGUCGUUCCUGUGGGCGCGAGUCGCGGGAUGAAGAAGCUUCUCCAGGAGAAGUUCCCCAAUAUGAGCCGCCUGCAGGACAUCAGCGAGCUGCUGGCCACGGGCGCGGGGCUGUCGGAGAGCGAGGCAGAGCCUGACGGCGACCACAACAUCACAGAGCUGCCUCAGGCUGUCGCCGGCCGUGGCAACAUGCGGGCCCAGCAGAGUGCAGUGCGGCUCACCGAGGUGAGGCCCAGGGCAGGGGACCCCUGGGGUCCGCCAGUGCCAACGAUGGGCUGACACUUCUCCCUCGU
rnacentral:sRNA from 1 species